UUGGCAUUUCGAAGUAGUUUGAAGCUAGUGUCUUAAGUAAUGGAAACAAACAAGGCUUAUUUUCCUUAGAAUACAAGUGGAUUUAUUUAUAUUUCGAGAAUCAGUUGCUUCUUGGAGGGACACAUAAAAUAUUUCGUACUCUACUAUGAAAGUGAACUAAACAAGAGUUAAAUGAUUCAAUGCGGCAGAAACUACUGAGUUUUAUCAUCAAAGAAGUUCUAAGAAGAUAAAAAAAAUAUGUCAGCUGUGAAUAUUUUUAAAUUACCUUGAAUGAAUCAUAAGUGAGGGUAACCUUACAACAGCAA